rnacentral:rRNA from 1 species
CACGUAGGGCGCGAGCGUUGUCCGGAAUUAUUGGGCGUAAAGAGCUCGUAGGCGGUCUGUCGCGUCUGCUGUGAAAACUCGGGGCUUAACCCCGGGCCUGCAGUGGGUACGGGCAGACUAGAGUGCGGUAGGGGAGACUGGAAUUCCUGGUGUAGCGGUGAAAUGCGCAGAUAUCAGGAGGAACACCGGUGGCGAAGGCGGGUCUCUGGGCCGUAACUGACGCUGAGGAGCGAAAGCGUGGGGAGCGAACAGG